UUUUAUAGAAAAUCAAGUAGUUACUGAAUUCCUGAAGUACUAACUAGGAUUGUUCCAGCUGGUGUGCAGAAACCUGGUAUACCUGCAACAGGCAAGACGGCCCCUACCUUCUGCUUAGCAAGCCAAAUAGCAGUCAGUCAGUAUUGCCUCUAAUUAUGACAGCAGUUUUGUGGAAGACCCUUCUCCAAAACCAAAGCUCAGCUUCAAUGAGAAAGAAAAAUGGGAAGAAGAAUGUGAUCAUAUCUUCCAGGGUUUAGAGAAAAGCAGGAAAAAUUCACACUAAAUUAGACCCAGUUCUCUGGAGGUGAGGGUAAGAUAUUAAAUUAUUAAUAUCUUUCAAGAUAUUAAAGGCCAGUGGGAUGUUUUGAACAAAUAAAUAUAAUUUAAUUCUUAAUGAAUUAUCAAAGAAAAAACAACUCCCAAAUGACUAGAAGCAAAAAUU